rnacentral:rRNA from 1 species
CUGGCGGCGCGUCUUAAGCAUGCAAGUCGAACGGCAAGAGGUAGCAAUACCUCCUAGAGUGGCGGACUGGUGAGUAACACGUGGGUGACAUACCCUUCAGAUGGGGAUAGCUAUUAGAAAUAGUAGAUAAUACCGAAUACGAGCACAGGGGUUAGAGAUCUGUGAGGAAAGGAGCUAAGGCUCCGCUGAAGGAAUGGCCUGCGGCCCAUUAGCUAGUUGGUGAGGUAAGAGCCCACCAAGGCGAUGAUGGGUAUCCGGCCUUAGAGGGUGAACGGACACAUUGAGACUGAGAUACGGCCCAGACUCCUACGGGAGGCAGCAGCUAAGAAUAUUCCGCAAUGGACGAAAGUCUGACGGAGCGACGCCGCCGUGGAUGAAGAAGGCCGGAAGGUUGUAAAAUCCUUUUGAAACUGAAGAAUAAGCGUUGUAGGGAAUGACAGCGUGGUGACAGUAGGUUUUGAAUAAGCAACGGCUAAUUACGUGCCAGCCGCGGC